UCUUGGUCAAAACUAUUUAUUUAUAAACAAUGUCUUUAUCCUUCCCUGGGAACUUUGUAAAAACUGCUUCUUGUUAUUUUCUGAGUUGAAAAAAAGUAGAUUGAAUACUAAGCCAGGUCAUGUUGCCUGGAGAAAGGGGCAUCUGUGUGUGUGUGUCGUGUGGUCUGUGUCUAUGUCUGUAUGUGUAUGUGUAUGUAUGUGUAUGCAUGUGUAUGUGUGUCUCCCCUUAAGAGUCAUAUUCCUCUAGUUUUAACUUUGCAACCAGUUCCUUCGGGCAAGUUAUAACUGUUCAUCAUCUCAUUUCCCUAUUAUUCAAAUGAAGACGAUCUUGCUUGCCUUGCACUCUUGCUUCACAGAAUGACAAGGAGACUCUAAAGAGAUAAUAGCUGUGAACAGAUUUCGAAGUUGCAAGUGCUGGGCAAACGCAAUGGUUGCUGUGAGAAGGGACCUGCUCAGUGUCUCCAUUAAAGGAAGAAGAGGCUGAGGAAACAACCUGUCCAAGGCCACAAGACUAGUAACUAGUAAAUCCUCGAUUUCUGCUGAAAGAUUUAAGCUUGGAACUAUCUUGGAUGACGAAUAUGAAUUUAAAAAAAAAUCAUCGUUCUGUCUUUGAUCUGGAUGAAGGUGCCUCACCAACAGGUAGAAAGCAGAACUACAAGCCCCUAUGAAUGGCUGCUCCCUGAAGACAUUCUACUUUGGGAAAAGCAGCUGUUGUCUAGUUGUAUCAUGAGGACACCAAGAGAACUCUAGGGGUCCUUGUGGAAAGAAUUGAGCCCCCACCUCAGGCAGCAUUAAUUUGCAACCAUGCAGAAUCAUGGGCAGAGGAUCAGUUACUUAACAAUUGAGAACUCUCCAGAGAGGAACCUGGAAGGAACAGCCACAUUAGAAAAGAUUGAAAGUGGUAAAGGGUGGUCAACCUCACAAGCUGCCUGCUGGAGUCCAGCCAGCCAUCAAAAGCUUUGUGGUAGACAGUGAAUCACAAGCUGCAUGUGGAGUUCCAAACAUCACCUGCCAUGUGUGAAGGUUUUGGCUGUCAUUUCCAGCUGUGUGGACCAUGGAUAAAACCUCAGGCCUCAAAUACACUAGGCAAGUGUUAUCUCCCCAAGUCUAUAGCCCAAGAGCAAAUACAAAAUUGGAAUAGUAUAUCCCUAUAACUCUACUUCCUGUAUUUUCAUUAAAAAUGAAAAAUGCCUUA